UGGAGGCAGCAGUGGGGAAUUUUGGGCAAUGGGCGAAAGCCUGACCCAGCAACGCCGCGUGAAGGAUGAAAUCCCUCGGGAUGUAAACUUCGCAAGAAUGGGAAGAAUUAGCGAGCGCUAAUAACGUUCGUGAUGACGGUACCAUUUGUAAGCUCCGGCUAACUCCGUGCCAGCAGCCGCGGUAAUACGGGGGGAGCAAGCGUUGUUCGGAUUUACUGGGCGUAAAGGGCGCGUAGGCGGCCAGCGCAAGUCAGUUGUGAAAUCUCCGGGCUUAACUCGGAACGGUCAACUGAUACUGCGCGGCUAGAGUGCGGAAGGGGCAACUGGAAUUCUCGGUGUAGCGGUGAAAUGCGUAGAUAUCGAGAGGAACACCUGCGGCGAAGGCGGGUUGCUGGGCCGACACUGACGCUGAUGCGCGAAAGCCAGGGGAGCGAACGGGAUUAGAUACCCCGGU
rnacentral:rRNA from 1 species